UUAGACUUAAAAUUUUUUAUGCUUAGGUAGUAUUAGUUAUGGACUUGAAACCUAAAGAAUUUGGCGGUAUUUUAGUCUUUUUAGAGGAAUCUGUCCCUUAAUCGAUAAUCCACGUUGAACCUUACUUGGUUUUAAUUAAUCUGUAUAUCGCCGUUUUUGAAAAUCUUUUCAGAGGAUUUUCUUAAUAUUAAACUUUAUAAUAAUUCAGGUCAAGGUGCAGUUUAUGAUCAAGUGGUGAUGGAUUACAAUAUAUUCAUUAAAACGGAUUAAAUUUUGUAAUUUUAAUUUAUGAAGGUGGAUUUAAUAGUAAUUAUUUAAAGAUUGUUAUUUUGGCUAUAGCUCUAAAAUGUGU
rnacentral:rRNA from 1 species